UUCAAUCUCUCUUUGAGCUAAACUUCAUUGUUCCUUUGAUUUGUAGGAUCUGAUGUGAUUCUGUUGGUCAGAAUAUGGACAACGAUCUGAUGAACAUGUUGUAAAUAGUUUUUCUACAAUGGUAAAUGAUAACGUGAAACAAUAAUGAACGCUUAUAGUAGUGGUUACUACCUAUGCGACCAUAAUCACCUUUAUAUCUGAGACUAAAACUUUUGGUAGAUGCUUAGAAUGCUUUUUUAGUGAAACCCAAAUUCCUUCUUUGCACUUGCAACAUGAAAUAGGUGAAGGAAGGAAAAUGGUCUGGUCAAGUCAAUCUUAAGGAAAUAAAAUAUCCACUGGGUUUAUUUUUUCAAGGGCAAACACACUUCUAGACAACGUGAAGCAAAAAUGAGCUUAUAAAACGUUUCUUAACCUUGGACCAACACAACAAUACACACAGCCAUUGUGGUCAAGCUUGUCGAUCCCUACUGAAUGAUGCCACGAUGCCAAGAUGCCGAGAUGCCAAGCCGAAUGCUGGAAGUAAAGUUUGGCCUUGGUGUGCAAACCCAGGUGCCAGAUUUGUUCAGGUUUCAAGUAGGCAAUCUUCUGAUUCUGUAUCCUUUAUGAUAUCUGGUUGAUGACUUUGAGCUAAUUUUAGUUUUCGAGCUUGCCUGCUGAUCAUAGGUACUGAUCUGAUCUUGUCUGGCGAUCAUAGUUAUUGAUUUUUGUCUUAAAAAUCAACGAGAAAUGUUAAAUGUACAUUGAUAUGUCUAUGGCUUGUAUGUGCAUGCCUGUUGAUGACAAUUGAACACGUUUCUUCAAAAGAGUUACGAACCUUUGUAAGUUUCAGUUAAAAGUGGCGUAUUUAUGGUUAGAUAACUAUAAAAAUCAAGCUUAUAUACAGCA